CCUGCCCUGAACAGAAGUGCUUAAAACACCAUUAACGUCUCCCUCCUGCUUCGGAUCCCUUUUCACACUCCGGUGACAACUAAAAUUGGUGGUGAGGCCCCCCCGUGCUCGGGCGGGAAGGCUUGGUGUCCACAGGAAGCCUGAACGUGACCUGAUGGAAGUGAUCGCCGGAAGUCUGCAGGCCCCGUAUGGCCACCUGGGGGCACAAUCAGGUUUGCUUUGGAAGCACAGUCUUUCAAAACCUGAUCCCGGCGGCUUUGACAAAGGCCCCUCCGGCUGGUGCUUGUCUUGGAGACCAGCCAGGAAGUCCAUUCAGCCCUGCAUUGCCUUUAAUGAGUUUUGCAAGCAAGUGGCCUCUUCCGGUGACUCACUCUGCCUUUUGUGCCCCGGAGAUUGUGGUUUUAAGUUUCACUUUGGAAAGUAACCACCACUUCUGCUGCUUUCUCCGCUGCUGGAAUCUGAACAAGUUACAUUCAUUUUGCAACAAAGAAAUGUAAAUGCAGGAGGGCCAGUCAUAUUUCUGCUCUGAUUGUAAAAACAUCCUUUUCCGAGACGGAUGACAGAGCCAAGCUAAGAAGAAAUGGUUUCUAUGGUUCACAAGUCACACGUUCACUUUGGGAACUUCGUAUUUUUCCUUCCAGACAGGCUUGAUACUUUUGUUUUUGUUCUUUGUCUUCUGGAUGCAUAUUUCAGGGAUAUCCUAAAAAUAAACAGCGCUUGCUGACUCA